rnacentral:rRNA from 1 species
GAUGAACGCUGGCGGCGUGCAUAAUACAUGCAAGUCGAGCGAAGCGGGGACGGGUGAGUAACACGUGGAUAACCUCCUAUAAGACUGGGAUAAAUUCGGGAAACCGGAGCUAAACCGGAAACUUAUAGAUGGAGCCGCGUGGCAUUAGCUAGUUGGGAAGGUAACGGCUUACCAAGGCAACGAUGCAUAGCCGACCGGAGAGGGUGACCGGCCACACUGGAACUGCGACACGGUCCAGACUCCUACGGGAGGCAGCAGUGGGGAAUCUUCCGCAAUGGGCGAAAGCCUGAGAGAGCAACUCCGCGUGUGUGAUGAAGGUCUUCGGAUCGUAAAACUCUGUUAUUAGGGAAGCGGUACCUAAUCAGAAAGCCCCGGCUAACUCCGUGCCAGCAGCCGCGGUAAUAC